UUGCUUUUUGUAGUAAUUUUACAUAUAUUUGGCCAUUGCUGGUCGAUAGCAGUAGAUUUGAACAAAAACUAAUUUUAGUAUAUUAAAGGUGCACUGCUUUGAUAUAACAUUCAGUUUAAUUCAAAAAUAUUUUAUCAAUCGCAAAGGGAAAUUAAAUGCUAACGCAUCUCGUAUUAUAAAGGUUACUUUGUGUCUGACUGAAGACACUGUUGUUGUACAAUAGUCUGACAAAGAGGAUGCUCAGCGUUGUCCAUAAUAUUUUUCAUUUUCUGAAGAAUCAGUUUUUGCACAAUUAUCUCCAGAGGUUCAAGAAGGGUCCCCAGAACAAAGCCAGCCUUCUUUAUUAGUUUGUUGAGCUAUUUUAAAUUAUUUGCUCUGAUGCUGCUACCCAACAGACGAUGGCAAGAGGAGAUCACACUCUCCGCAGCAGACUUAUAGAAGAUCUGCAGCAUCUUGCUGCAAACCCUGAAGGAUCUAAGCUUCCUCAAGAAAUACAGUCUGCUCUGUCCCUUCUUGUUGACAGCUUCAAAGUUACGUCUCCAGUUCAGUUUGUUAUCUAGGUGAACACCGAGGUAUUCAUACUCCUCCAACACCUCUACUUCUUCUCCCAGUAAGGUAAUAGUGUUGGUACUAUUUCUAUUUCUCCUGAAAUCUACGAUCAUCUCCGUUGUUUUAUACACAUGCAGAAUGAGAUGAUUGUUUCCACACCAUGCAACAAACAUGAAGUUUGCACUAUUUGGAUCCCAUUACUGGAAACUUGAACUGCAGCUUGUUGAUGAUAUGUCUCAUGACUCUAAAAAUAGGUUGACUUGAUAUACUUGCAAAAAAGGAAGCGAUUUAGAUGUACAGUUACUUCUGCAAUUCAUAUGCAACUUUUCACACUUAUUGAGUCUUGCUGGGCGUACCAGUUCACUGCUUUAAUGUUGUUGUUUUUCAUAGAGCGUGACUAAAAAGUAGGGAAAGAAAAAGUAGUCUGUUGUUUUUCAGGUAUCAUGAAAACAUUGCUGGUUUGUUGGAUACUUUUCAGAUCUAAACAACUUUAAUGUGCUGGAAUCAGUUGCUCUAAAGGUUUUGUGAAUACGUCGUUUCAAUCUCUUUUGUACAAUGGUGUCUCCUAUCAGCGCCAAUCAACAAAAGCAUAAACAGAACCUGGAGACAGACAAAAUGUGUCAGAGCAUUGGUUCACUCUGCAUGGCCUCCUGCAAUCUCCAGCCAGCCUCAGUUACCUCACUUGUGGAACCUGAACCAACCAAUGGCGUGAAGGACCACCUUCCUGUCCAUCCUCCAACGGUCUCUGCAGAGACGAUCCUUUCACCCUGAGCCAUCUACACUACCCCUUCCCUCUCAUUUCAAUAAAUCA